AUCUUUUUAUGGUUCCUAAGUGAGAUGAUGGGAUUUCCAGGCUCAUAUGUGAGAUACUCCUUUAGACCAUCCAUGACAUGGGUACGUUACUGUGUGAAG
ensembl:snoRNA